rnacentral:lncRNA from 10 species
UGACGUAGGACGUAAGGACGCCCCCCCCCGCCGGUAGCCAUCUUCGUGCAUAGGCAAACUUAUUGUAGCUAGACUGUACAAAGUAUAUCAAGAUAUGCCAAAUAUUGAGCUUAACUUCACCUGUUUGAGAGACGCUUGCAACACCAUGAAAAAAUUACUGAGACACUAGGAAUGCUGUGAACUGAGAAAGUUUGGGACCUUUGGCAUAACUAAAUCCUUCAUUUAACAGUGUUGUGAACCACUUGUCAUGGGAUAACCAAAAUUAAACCUGGAAUCGCAGAAGAAACAAAUUUUUUGAAGAAAUUGGAUGUACUUUUUUAAAAUUUUUCAUUCAACUAAAACUUUGUUAACUGUUUCUUGGUUGUGGUCUUCUCUAAAUUGUAAUCUUUGGCAUUCACUUCCAAAGUAUCCACCACUAAACUUCAUAACAUUUAUUGUGUCUCUUCAUCAUUAAACUUUGAUGAAUUUACAGAGUGUCUUUUGAAAUUAUGUUCUUGAGAAAGGUAAGUUCCCUAAAAAUCCCACCACCUCAGGAACAGAAUUUUCUAAAACUGUUGUAUCUACCUAAGUUACCUAUUUUUGUCUUUUGUCUGGAGUCCACUUGUCCUCAAAACAAAAUUAAUGUUGUAUUCCCUUUUGGUCAAGGACACAUUAAACAUUUCGUGCAGCAUGCACAUUUUUCAGGGAUGUAGAAUCAUAAACAAUUAUUUUUAUACACUUCUUAUGACAUAGGGUGACUUUUACAAUGUGCUGUGCUAUUUAAAGUUAAAUGUUCACCACUACAUAUUGUACCUGUGAAAAGAUUAUAGGUUAGCUUUGAUAAUUUAAAAUAUUUUUGCUACAGCCA